rnacentral:rRNA from 1 species
CGGGUGAGUAACGCGUAUCCAACCUUCCGUACACUCAGGAAUAGCCUUUCGAAAGAAAGAUUAAUACCUGAUGGUAUGAUGAGAUUGCAUGAUAUCAUCAUUAAAGAUUCAUCGGUGUACGAUGGGGAUGCGUUCCAUUAGGUAGUAGGCGGGGUAACGGCCCACCUAGCCUACGAUGGAUAGGGGUUCUGAGAGGAAGGUCCCCCACAUUGGAACUGAGACACGGUCCAAACUCCUACGGGAGGCAGCAGUGAGGAAUAUUGGUCAAUGGACGAGAGUCUGAACCAGCCAAGUAGCGUGAAGGAUGAAGGUCCUACGGAUUGUAAACUUCUUUUAUAAGGGAAUAAAACCUCCCACGUGUGGGAGCUUGUAUGUACCUUAUGAAUAAGCAUCGGCUAACUCCGUGCCAGCAGCCGCGGUAAUACGGAGGAUGCGAGCGUUAUCCGGAUUUAUUGGGUUUAAAGGGAGCGUAGGCGGACGCUUAAGUCAGUUGUGAAAGUUUGCGGCUCAACCGUAAAAUUGCAGUUGAUACUGGGUGUCUUGAGUACAGU